UAGGGAAUAUUGCAAAAUGGGCGAAAGCCCGAUGCAGCAACGCCGCGUGGGCGAUGAAGGCCUUCGGGUCGUAAAGCCCUUUUUGAGGGGAUGAGGAAGGACAGUACCCUCAGAAUAAGCCUCGGCUAACUACGUGCCAGCAGCCGCGGUAAAACGUAGGAGGCGAGCGUUAUCCGGAUUUACUGGGCGUAAAGCGCGUGCAGGCGGAUUGGAGAGUUGGAUGUGAAAGCUCCCGGCUUAACUGGGAGAGGUCGUUCAAUACUUCCAGUCUUGAGUGCAGUAGAGGGAAGUGGAAUUCCGGGUGUAGGGGUGAAAUGCGUAGAUAUCCGGAGGAACACCAGUGGCGAAAGCGGCUUCCUGGACUGUAACUGACGCUCAGACGCGAAAGCUAGGGUAGCAAACG
rnacentral:rRNA from 1 species